CCUUCCUGCAUCUCCCUCUGGGAGGCCUCCAAAGGUCCCCACUCAGUUGUACCUGCCUGAGUGAGUCUGACACAGGAUCACAAUAACACAACUCUAAAAAGCAGUGAGUCUGCAGGCAUUUUGUACCAUCACAGCUCUAUUUUACUGAGAGCUGAAUCACAACCAGCCACUAGGUUGCAGCUGAAGAUAAAUCACAGAAAAAAAUCCAUUUGCUAGAGCAACCUGUGCAGAUUCUCACUGCUAGCAAGCUCUGACCAUGCACUUACAAUUCAUUUUUAUAGACAUUGCAAAAGAGAUGAGAGUCAAGAGAAAAUACGAAGAAGAAAGAAGACAGGACAGAAUUAUGUUUGUUGAGGCUUCAGACAUCAGAGAUUGCAAGAAAAAAUCCUCCUCCUAGCCUGCUCAGAAAGCUGCCAUCUGCUGUAAGACCUGGAACCACUGUCAUAAGUUCCAGUAUCCACUAAAAAUGAUG
rnacentral:lncRNA from 1 species